rnacentral:rRNA from 1 species
GGAUGAACGCUGGCGGCGUGCCUAAUACAUGCAAGUCGAACGAAACUUCUUUAUCACCGAGUGCUUGCACUCACCGAUAAAGAGUUGAGUGGCGAACGGGUGAGUAACACGUGGGCAACCUGCCCAAAAGAGGGGGAUAACACUUGGAAACAGGUGCUAAUACCGCAUAACCAUAGUUACCGCAUGGUAACUAUGUAAAAGGUGGCUAUACUACCGCUUUUGGAUGGGCCCGCGGCGCAUUAGCUAGUUGGUAGGGUAAAGGCUUACCAAGGCAAUGAUGCGUAGCCGAAUUGAGAGGUUGAUCGGCCACAUUGGGACUGAGACACGGCCCAAACUCCUACGGGAGGCAGCAGUAGGGAAUCUUCCACAAUGGGCGAAAGCCUGAUGGAGCAACGCCGCGUGGGUGAAGAAGGUCUUCGGAUCGUAAAACCCUGUUGUUAGAGAAGAAAGUGCGUGAGAGUAACUGUUCACGUUUCGACGGUAUCUAACCAGAAAGCCACGGCUAACUACGUG